GGAGAGUUGUCCGAGUGGUUGAAGGAGCACGCCUGGAAAGUGUGUAUGCCUGCAAGGGUAUCGAGGGUUCGAAUCCCUCACUCUCCG
rnacentral:tRNA from 1 species